CAGCUCAAACCCUCUUUGUCCCAAAUUCUCUCUAGCUCCUCCGACACCCUAGCCCUCUCCCAGCGUCUUCCAUCAUGUUUCAUCGAAAUCCCUGGCAUCCUCGAGCCUUGGGUGGCAUGUACUCACCUCCACAUGCUCUUGUACACCUGCUACUGGAAGAUUCAAGGUCUGACCUUGAAGAUUUUUGCUCAGUUCGUCUCCGAUUCAAGCUCCCCUGCCAUCUCCGGCAUGUCCUGGUCCUAUAAGCCUAUCUCUGACUCACCUGGAUCAGAGCAUACCCUUUUCCAGGUCGUUGUCGCUUCUAGGGUUCUUCUGAAACCCUAGCCCUUCGAGGUUUUCCUAUAUUCCUUUAGAUCCGCUCUAGAUCUAUGCUUGUUUCAAGAAACGAUUUUCUUAAAUUUCUUUCAAAGGCUUGCUUUAAAAAAUAUUUGUCUUCUCCGAUUUAGGGUUACUUUGAUUUUACUUGUUCUACCGUGAUUUUGUGAGGUGUUCUUACUGUAUUUGUCCUACUGUGAUUCCUGUUUGUUCCUACUCCAACUCUUGUGUGCUUCUUCUAUUAUUUUUUCUUCUAUUUUUUUCUUUUACUGUAUUUUGCCUCAGUAUGUUUCACGGAACAAUUAAGUUCCUUUGUGUUUUUCUGAGUUUUGCUCUUGUAUGAUUUGAACGUCUGCAUCCCUACACUGGACUAAUGACGAAAACCCUAGAAUUUGGGGGUUUUUUCUGACCACGUGUAUGUGACUUGCAUGUUCUCACCUCUAAACUAGUUUGAUUUCGAUUGCUGAAAAGUCAUCUCUGUUUUUCAUGCGAUUCUGACCUUUUGUGUUUGAAGUGUUUAUAUUCUCGUUAUAUACUGUGAUUUCCCCCUAAAAUGGUCUUUCAAAUUUGCAAUUAGUUCGAAAUUCCUUCUAAACACAGCUUGAUUGAUUUCGUUCCAUUUUUUGCACACGACUCGACCUAAACAAAAACCCUUCUCUUUUUAGACUGGGCUCAUUCGUAUAAAAUCUCAGACCUUUGACUUUAUUGUUUAUUAAUUGGUCUUCUUACCUUAUUUGCACAAAUGUGUGUUUCAAAAACUUUUCCUUAAAUAACUUUAUGUAUUCACCCUUAUUUUUAUGCUAUGCACAUGUUGUUUACUUGAUCCCACUUCCUUAAAUAUUUUCUUCCUUUAUUGAUCAAAUUAGGAUUCCUUAAUUAAAGAAAUCUCUGUUAGUUGGUUGAUCUUAAUUGAUACUCGACUAAUUUUCUUUCCUUGCUUGCAUGUCUGAUUUCAAGUAUAAAUACAUGCUCUUCCUUUUUACUUCAUCAUCGAAUUCUGACUGAAAACAAAAAUCAGAAUUCAUCUCUCUUCUUUACUGCUACUAUUACUACUCUCUAUUUCCCUUCACUGGUAUGAGCAUUCUACACCUGCACUUCUUGGUGCUUGAACCCCUGGACAUUUGGGAGUUUCUUGAGUCUGUCCCUGUUCAUUCAUGGCUAUCUGUUUGCUGCUAUUAGUCUGCUAUCCUAGAAUUUAUAACUGGCACGCUCUUUUAUGUUAAAUAGCAUCAUUGUUCAAUUUCUCUGCUUCUACCCCUUUCAUUGUGUGCUUAUUUAUGCUUUCUUGUACUAUUCAAUUACUUAAUCCUUUUCCACUAUUCCCUUUGUAUGUGAGUUUGUCCUGGGUCAUAGCAGCAUUUUGAAUUGCUAUAUGUGAUUCAGGACUAGACUCUUCUGAGUCUCUACUCGAUUGCUUUCUAAUUCUCUCUCCCCUCAAUGUGCUGAGCUCUAAUUUGGGUAUGUUGAUGUCCUAUUCAUCAUUCAAACCUGAGUUUGACUCUUUAAGAGUCUGCUCUUAUUUGGUUGAAUCUGAGUGGGAGGUGAGGGGCGUGCCAGUCUACGCCAUGACUGGAUAUGACCACCUUCUGCUGAGGUUUCUCUCUCACUUUAC
rnacentral:lncRNA from 1 species